rnacentral:rRNA from 1 species
CAGUAGCCGCGGUAAUACGAAGGGGGCUAGCGUUGUUCGGAUUUACUGGGCGUAAAGCGCACGUAGGCGGAUUGGUCAGUUAGGGGUGAAAUCCUGGAGCUCAACUCCAGAACUGCCUUUAAUACUGCCAAUCUCGAGUCCGGAAGAGGUAAGUGGAACUCCUAGUGUAGAGGUGGAAUUCGUAGAUAUUAGGAAGAACACCAGUGGCGAAGGCGGCUUACUGGUCCGGUACUGACGCUGAGGUGCGAAAGCGUGGGGAGCAAACAGGAUUAGAUACCCCUGUAGUCCCUGUCUCUUAUAC